rnacentral:rRNA from 1 species
UCGAGAAUCUUCGGCAAUGGGCGCAAGCCUGACCGAGCGAUGCCGCGUGGGUGAAGAAGGCCUUCGGGUCGUAAAGCCCUGUCACCCGGGACGAAGCCUGACGGUACCGGGAGAGGAAGCCACGGCUAACUACGUGCCAGCAGCCGCGGUAACACGUAGGUGGCGAGCGUUAUUCGGAAUUACUGGGCGUAAAGGGUCCGCAGGGGGUUUGCCAAGUCUGCUGUGAAAGCCCGCGGCUCAACCGCGGAAGUGCAGUGGAAACUGGCGAACUGGAGUGCACGAGAGGAGAGCGGAAUUCCCGGUGUAGCGGUGGAAUGCGUAGAUAUCGGGAAGAACAUCGACGGCGAAGGCAGCUCUCUGGCGUGUCACUGACCCUCAGGGACGAAAGCGUGGGCAGCGAACA